rnacentral:rRNA from 1 species
UACGUAGGGACCAAGCGUUGUUCGGAUUUACUGGGCGUAAAGGGCGCGUAGGCGGCCUGCUAAGUCGAACGUGAAAUCCCCGGGCUCAACCCGGGAACUGCGUUCGAUACUGGUUGGCUUGAAUUCGGGAGAGGGAUGCGGAAUUCCAGGUGUAGCGGUGAAAUGCGUAGAUAUCUGGAGGAACACCGGUGGCGAAGGCGGCAUCCUGGACCGGCAUUGACGCUGAGGCGCGAAAGCCAGGGGAGCAAACGGG